rnacentral:rRNA from 1 species
ACAAUGGAGAGUUUGAUCCUGGCUCAGGAUGAACGCUAGCUACAGGCUUAACACAUGCAAGUCGAGGGGAAACGACAUCGAAAGCUUGCUUUUGAUGGGCGUCGACCGGCGCACGGGUGAGUAACGCGUAUCCAACCUGCCCACCACUUGGGGAUAACCUUGCGAAAGUAAGACUAAUACCCAAUGACGUCUCUAGAAGACAUCUGAAAGAGAUUAAAGAUUUAUCGGUGAUGGAUGGGGAUGCGUCUGAUUAGCUUGUUGGCGGGGUAACGGCCCACCAAGGCGACGAUCAGUAGGGGUUCUGAGAGGAAGGUCC